rnacentral:rRNA from 1 species
CCUACGGGAGGCAGCAGUGGGGAAUUUUGGACAAUGGGCGCAAGCCUGAUCCAGCCAUGCCGCGUGUGGGAAGAAGGCCUUCGGGUUGUAAACCACUUUUGUCAGGGAAGAAACGGCUUUUUCUAAUACAGAGAGCUAAUGACGGUACCUGAAGAAUAAGCACCGGCUAACUACGUGCCAGCAGCCGCGGUAAUACGUAGGGUGCAAGCGUUAAUCGGAAUUACUGGGCGUAAAGCGUGCGCAGGCGGCUUUGCAAGACAGAUGUGAAAUCCCCGGGCUCAACCUGGGAACUGCAUUUGUGACUGCAUGGCUAGAGUACGGUAGAGGGGGAUGGAAUUCCGCGUGUAGCAGUGAAAUGCGUAGAUAUGCGGAGGAACACCGAUGGCGAAGGCAAUCCCCUGGACCUGUACUGACGCUCAUGCACGAAAGCGUGGGGAGCAAACAGGAUUAGGUACCCUGGUAGUCCACGCCCUAAACGAUGUCAACUGGUUGUUGGACGGCUUGCUGUUCAGUAACGAAGCUAACGCGUGAAGUUGACCGCCUGGGGAGUACGGCCGCAAGGUUGAACGUCAAAUGAAUUGAGAGNGNGAGAGNGCGACGGACGACGACGAGGGGAGGAGG